AAUGAUAAUUGGUUAGUUUUUGACCAGUAUUAAAGUAACCAACUGAUAAUGGUAUACUUAUUGCAAAGAUCUGUACUUUAUUUUUAGUUGAGCUAUUCAGACACGAGGCUUAACAAGUAUAUCCCGGAUGUGGACACAGGGAGCCCACAUCAUUACACUUAUAAAUACCCAUUCUUAUUGGUUGAUUUAACCAAUGAUGAAAUGGUUGAUAUUUUCACGGCAAGUCCAACAGGUCAAAAGAACCAAAAGAAAUUGGUUAAAAAACAUAUUUUUUGACUUAUUUCAAAUAAAUUUAGAUUAUUUCAUAAUCAUGAUUUGUUAGAUCAUAGUUCUUAGUCAGCGGUCGGAGGUGACUCUGUAAAGAAUACAUUGGAUGGAAACUCCAUUGGCUUCACAGGUUGAAUAAGUUCAUUGGUAAUUUUCAUGUUCAAAAACCAAAUGACUUAUCAUGAGAGAUGUUCUAAAUAUGAUGGCGUUUAGCGUUUUCCUGCUUUAUGUCAACAGUGAAGCAUUGUNANUAUUCUCCUGAUUCGCUCUGAAAAGAAACUCGCGGAAAUUAUCGUGAAACUUGGACUUUUGAAAGUUGAUCUGUUUACCUUCUGCUGUACUUAUGUCAACAGGGAGCAUUUCUUGGGUUCUGAUUCGUCGUUUUUGUGAUUAACCAGGAAUCAAAACCACGAUAGCAAACAAUCUCGGUCUCUUUCUUUUCAAGUCUCGGACGAGUUAACAGCAAGAGUUUAGGAAAUGUUUGUUUUCAAUAUAACCGUUUCUAAAUAGGUUAAAUCAGAAAAGCUAACUACAGAAGAUGUUCUAGAGUACUAGUUUCUUAGAGGAUCGAACCUCAAGUCUUCAGUGACGCAUCAAAACUAAGGAAACCAAGUUGACGGAGAGAAUCUCGUUGGCUUCGAGAUGCUUGACAUCAACGAAAUGGCCCUCAAUGAUGAUUCCGGUUCUCAAGACGCAAAAGAAGUUCAUUUGUGUAUGGCCUGAGCCAAGUCACAGACAAGGACCAAAUAAGCCUGCAAACUCCACUAAAAUCAAAACACCGAAGGAGUUCAAGUCAAGCGUUAAGGUGGCACAAGAGAACAUUUUAAGCUUGUCCAAGAUACCAUACUAUUAAAUGGUUUUCAAAUAUUUACCAUAUCAGAGACCUGGGCUGAUUUAUCUGUCAGCAAUGCAUGCCUCGAAAUCCCAGGUUAUCAAUUAUUCAGACAGGAUCGUGGACCACAGAAAUCCGGACGUGGGCUAUGCACUUGCGUACUGAACGAUCUCAAAGCAACUGUGUUUUGAAAGAUCUUACUAUGGUUUCUGAAGAUGGCUUUCAACAACAAUGGCUAAAAAUACAGUGCAGAAGUUUCAAAUCCUUUUUGGACCUAGCACAUCAAUCAACUGACUUNAAUCGCCUUAGCUAAAUGCCUGGUUGACUCAUCGCUGCUAAACCUCGACACUAUAUUACUUGGAGACUUAAAUUGAAAAUUAAGUCUAAAUUGUUGAAAGAUUUCAUCUUAACUUUUAACUUGUGUGAAAUGGUUGAAAAACCAACAGAGUGACUGAGGCUUCACAAUCUCUAAUUGAUGUAAUUAUGACUACAGAUACAUCUAUGGUGUGCGUCUGUGAUGUAUUAAUCAGUUUUAUCAGUGAUGAUGUUUUAUGAGUCCGGUGAGUCAAUGAGUCGUGAGUCGUGA
rnacentral:lncRNA from 1 species